GACGAACGCUGGCGGCGUGCCUAACACAUGCAAGUCGAACGGAAAGGCCCUGCCUUUGUGGGCUGCUCGAGUGGCGAACGGGGAAGUAACACGUGAGUAACCUGCCCUUGACUUUGGGAUAUGUUAAGGAAACUGGGGCUAAUCCCAGAAAGGAGCUCCCGCUGCAUGGUGGGGGUUGGAUAGUUUCGGCGGUUGGGGAUGGACUCGCGGCUUAUCAGCUUGUUGGUUGGGUAGUGGCUUACCAAGGCUUUGACGGGUAGCCGGCCUGAGAGGGUGACCGGCCACAUUGGGACUGAGCUACGGCCCAGCCUCCUACGGGAGGCAGCGGUGGGGAGUAUUGCACAAUGGGCGGAAGCCUGGUGCAGCAACGCCGCGUGCGGUAUGACGGCCUUCGGGUUGUGAACCGCUUUCGCCUGUGACGAAGCGUGAGUGACGGUAAUGGGUAAAGAAGCACCGGCUAACUACGUG
rnacentral:rRNA from 1 species